rnacentral:rRNA from 1 species
GACGAACGCUGGCGGCGUGCCUAAUACAUGUAAGUAGAACGCUGAAGGAGGAGCUUGCUUCUCUGGAUGAGUUGCGAACGGGUGAGUAACGCGUAGGUAACCUGCCUGGUAGCGGGGGAUAACUAUUGGAAACGAUAGCUAAUACCGCAUAAUAGCAGUUAUUGCAUGAUAACUGUUUGAAAGGUGCAAUUGCACCACUACCAGAUGGACCUGCGUUGUAUUAGCUAGUUGGUGGGGUAACGGCUCACCAAGGCGACGAUACAUAGCCGACCUGAGAGGGUGAUCGGCCACACUGGGACGGAGACACGGCCCAGACUGCUACGGGAGGCAGCAGUAGUGAAUCUUCGGCAAUGGACGGAAGUCUGACCGAGCAACGCCGCGUGAGUGAAGAAGGUUGUCGGAUCGUAAAGCUCGGUUGUAAGAGAAGAACGAGUGUGAGAGUGGAAAGUUCACACUGUGACGGUAUCUUACCAGAAAGGGACGGCUAACUACGUG